GACGAACGCUGGCGGCGUGCUUAACACAUGCAAGUCGAACGGAAAGGCCCUGCUUUUGUGGGGUGCUCGAGUGGCGAACGGGUGAGUAACACGUGAGUAACCUGCCCUUGACUUUGGUAUAACUUCAGGAAACUGGGGCUAAUACCGGAUAGGAGCUCCUGCUGCAUGGUGGGGGUUGGAAAGUUUCGGCGGUUGGGGAUGGACUCGCGGCUUAUCAGCUUGUUGGUGGGGUAGUGGCUUACCAAGGCUUUGACGGGUAGCCGGCCUGAGAGGGUGACCGGCCACAUUGGGACUGAGAUACGGCCAAGACUCCUACGGGAGGAAGCAGUGGGGAAUAUUGCACAAUGGGCGGAAGCCUGAUGCAGCAACGCCGCGUGCGGGAUGACGGCCUUCGGGUUGUAAACCGCUUUCGCCUGUGACGAAGCGUGAGUGACGGUAAUGGGUAAAGAAGCACCGGCUAACUACGUG
rnacentral:rRNA from 1 species